rnacentral:lncRNA from 1 species
UCCCAUUAUGGGUAAUAGAAAAGAACAUGAAAAAGUCUAUACCUUUUUUUUUCUCCUGCCAUUUUCCAAAAGUUCAUCUUCAAAAGGCUUCCUGGGAGGAUUCCUUGAGGCACCAGCAGAGCAGCUUCCAGAACACAAGUCGUUAAGGAGCACAAAAAUGUAUUUCAAAUGCAAAGCAUCUGCUAUAUCAAAGGCACAACUGUAAUGCCUUCUGCAUUGAGACAUGUCUACAAUAAACAUGGUCCAACUGGAUUACCAACUGCACCAUAGACACAGUACCUGAAUUAAAUAGCAGAAGAUAAGAGACUUGAAUAUUUGUAGCCUUUGAACAUAUUCUUCUGAGAUAGGACAUUCUUUGUUCCCUAAACUUGUAUGGGAC